CACGGAAGUUUCGAGCGUCCUCGUUUCAUUCAUUCAUUGACUCUGGAAACAAGUGUGAGCGUGCAUCAGAGUUUUGGUAUCACCAAUGGGCCCAAUUUUUCCUGUUCCAGAAGCCAGAAGUCCAGCUGAGAAAGCAACCUUUUUGCCUGGAAAUGAGUGAAUCGAAUUAUGUAAAAUUAAAAACAUUUAAAACAUUUAAAUGUUUAUGGGAACAAAAUGUGCUUUUUACUUGCCUUCAUUCUCUUUUUGGAGAGAUUCAAGCUUAUUUUGUGAAUCUUGUACUAGGGUUUUCAAAGCUGUUCAGAAAACACAUUAAUAUGAUAAUGUUAGAAUGUAUGAAUUGUAAAGUUUCCCCAUAAUGUCAUGUUCAAUACAAGCUGCAACAAUUUCCACAUUAGGUGACACUCAAUUGAUUUAUUCCAUUAUUCAGUUAUGAAUGGCAAAAGCUGUUCUUCAGUUAUUUUAAUGUUUGUGUAAUAAAAUGUGUAUUUUAAAUCUCUGAAAUGUCUACGGGAACAAAAUGUGCCUUAUACUUGCCUUCACUCUCUUUUUGGACAGCUUCAAGCUUAGAUUGUGAAUCUCGUACUUCGGUUUUCAAAGCUGUACAGAAAACACAUUAAUAUAAUAAAGUUAGAAUGUUGCUAAACAAUGAGCUUCAAAAGAAAUAUAAGUUGUAAUUUCUUUAAAAUACUUUAUAAACUGUAAAGUUUCCCCAUAAUGUCAUGUUCAAAAUAAGCUGCAAUAAUUUCCACAUUAGAUGACAAUAAAUCUUGUGGAAGUAACU